rnacentral:rRNA from 1 species
UACGUAGGCGGCAAGCGUUGUCCGGAAUUACUGGGUGUAAAGGGAGCGCAGGCGGGAAGCCAAGUCAGCUGUGAAAACUACGGGCUUAACUUGUAGACUGCAGUUGAAACUGGUUUUCUUGAGUGAAGUAGAGGUUGGCGGAAUUCCGAGUGUAGCGGUGAAAUGCGUAGAUAUUCGGAGGAACACCGGUGGCGAAGGCGGCCAACUGGGCUUUAACUGACGCUGAGGCUCGAAAGUGUGGGGAGCAAACAGG